rnacentral:tRNA from 1 species
UGUAAGUAUAGUUUAACCAAAAUAUUAGAUUGUGAUUCUAAAGACAGGAGUUAAAAUCUCUUUACUCACC